rnacentral:rRNA from 1 species
AUUGAACGCUGGCGGCAGGCCUAACACAUGCAAGUCGAGCGGCUCGGCGGACGGGUGAGUAAUGCCUAGGAAUCUGCCUGGUAGUGGGGGAUAACGACCGGAAACGGGCGCUAAUACCGCAUACUAUCAGAUGAGCCUAGGUCGGAUUAGCUAGUUGGUGGGGUAAAGGCCUACCAAGGCGACGAUCCGUAACUGGUCUGAGAGGAUGAUCAGUCACACUGGAACUGAGACACGGUCCAGACUCCGACGGGAGGCAGCAGUGGGGAAUAGUGAACAAUGGGCGCAAGCCUGAUCCAGCCAUGCCGCGUGUGUGAAGAAGGUCUUCGGAUUGUAAAGCACUUUAAGUUGGGAGGCGUUACCAACAGAAGAAGCACCGGCGAACUUCGUGCCAGCAGCCGCGGUAAUUC